CUAAUUUGUGAACACUUUAUCAUGGAAUUCAUUUUGAAUUAUUAGUUACACGAAACAGGCUGUUCACUUAGGAUAAACAUCACUUUGGUUGGAAAGUCUCUUGCAUAAGAUGGAUGAGCCCAGAUGAAAGUUCAGUCCUAAACCUGAAGGAAGACGGUUUCAAUUUAGUUGCCAGAUAAUGAUGGUGUACCGGUGACGUCCAGGAUCAGAAAGUGCGAUGGAUGAGUCCAGAUGAAAGUACAGUCCUACACCUUAAGGAAUAUGGUUUCAAUACAGUUGGCAGAUAAUGAGGAUGCAAAAAGAGCAUAGACACAGAAAACUACGCCAUUCACACAGAUGUUUCAGUUGAGAUGGUAGAUGAGUAGCAACUCCAUGGAAGAUAUUUACUUAGAUCUUCAACCAAGUCCGAGGCUUUGCCAUGUAAGCAAUCAAGCACCAAGGAUAGCAGCUAGAAUGAAGAUUAAUUAUUACAUUGAUCUUCCACCAAGUCUGAGGCUUUGUCAUGAAAGAAAUA